rnacentral:rRNA from 1 species
CAGUCGCCACGGUAAUACGAAGGGUGCAAGCGUUAAUCGGAAUUACUGGGCGUAAAGCGUGCGUAGGCGGUUUGUUAAGUCUGCUGUGAAAUCCCCGGGCUCAACCUGGGAAUGGCAGUGGAUACUGGCAAGCUAGAGCGUGUCAGAGGAUGGUGGAAUUCCCGGUGUAGCGGUGAAAUGCGUAGAGAUCGGGAGGAACAUCAGUGGCGAAGGCGGCCAUCUGGGACAACACUGACGCUGAGGCACGAAAGCGUGGGGAGCAAACAGGAUUAGAUACCCCCGUAGUCCCUGUCUCUUAUAA